UGGCCGCGGUAUUUUGACUGUGCUAAGGUAGCAUAAUAAUUAGGCUAUUUAUUGUGGUCUGGAAUGAAAGAUUUGACGUGAAAAUGUCUAUCUUGAUUAUUGAUAUGAAUUUAAAUGUUUAGUAAAAAUGCUAAAAUAAUAAUUAGACGAGAAGACCCUAUUAAGUUUUAUAUAUCUAAUUGAAGUUUUUAGAAUUAAUUUAAAUUUUAUUAUAUUUUGUUGGGGCGAUAAGCAAUAAUAAGACAUUGUUAAUUUAAGAUAAUAUUAAAAUAUGACCCAUUAAUAAUGUUUAAGAGAAUAAAUUACUAUAGGGAUAACAGCACAAUAGGAUUAAAGAGUUCGUAUUAAUAAUUAUGAUUGUGACCUCGAUGUUGAAUUAAGUUUUCUUUUGGGUGUAGGAGUUUUUAAAGUUAGUCUGUUCGACUAUUAAAAUUUUACA
rnacentral:rRNA from 1 species